UACGUAGGGCGCGAGCGUUGUCCGGAUUUAUUGGGCGUAAAGAGCUCGUAGGCGGCUUGUCGCGUCGUCCGUGAAAACCCACAGCUCAACUGUGGGCUUGCGGUCGAUACGGGCAGGCUAGAGUUCGGUAGGGGAGACUGGAAUUCCUGGUGUAGCGGUGAAAUGCGCAGAUAUCAGGAGGAACACCGAUGGCGAAGGCAGGUCUCUGGGCCGAUACUGACGCUGAGGAGCGAAAGCGUGGGGAGCGAACAGG
rnacentral:rRNA from 1 species